rnacentral:rRNA from 1 species
CCUACGGGUGGCAGCAGUGAGGAAUAUUGGUCAAUGGGCGGGAGCCUGAACCAGCCAAGCCGCGUGAAGGAAGAAGGCGCCAAGCGUCGUAAACUUCUUUUGUCGGGGAACAAAGGGCGCCACGUGUGGCGUUGUGAGUGUACCCGAAGAAAAAGCAUCGGCUAACUCCGUCCCAGCAGCCGGGGUAAUCCGGAGGAGGCGAGCGUUAUACGGUUUUAUUGGGUUUAAAGGGUGCGUGGGGGGUCCGGAAAGGCAGCGGGAAAAGCCCGGGGCUCAACCCCGGCGAGCCGUUGAAACUGUCGGACUAGAGACGGCGAGAAGUACGCGGAAUGCGAGGUGUAGCGGUGAAAUGCAUAGAUAUCGCGCAGAACUCCGAUUGCGAAGGCAGCGUACCGGCGCCGGACUGACGCUGAUGCACGAAAGCGUGGGUAUCGAACAGGAUUAGAUACCCCAGUAGUC